UUCAGUGCUAUAUUGAAUAGGAGUGGUAAUGGCAGAGAGAACCGCCUUCUUUUUCAAAGACAGAGGAGGACUUGUUCAGCAAGAGGAAAAGGCAGCAUAGCAGUCUCUGAAGGGGCACGUUGAGUGCACUUGUGAUUGCUGCUCCUAUCAAUUGUUCUCCUCUCAUCAGAAGAUGCCAAAGAAACACAACAUGUGCAUGUCACAGGGAGAGUAAGUUUAAAGCAGAAGCUAACCUAACUGCUUGGAAAAAACAUCUUCAAAAGAGAAGAUCAUUUGAUUUAUACGUUUUGUGGUCUGAAAAUUCAAAAGGACCAGUGCUUAGCAUAGCAGUAUUUUCCUCAGUCUGCUGCAGGUGACCUUAGUAGAAAAGUCAGAGAGCUACCUCCAUCUCUGUCUGCCAUGUGAGAACACAAGGAGAACUCAGAAGUCUACAGAUAAAAAAAGAAGUCACCAUGCUGACAACCUGAUAUCUGAGUCCCAGCCUCCACAACUUGAGAAGUACUUUCUGUUCAUUCUCCAAUACAUACUCAGUCAAAAUUCUAGGAAGCUGUUGUAUAGCUAUCAACAAAUUAUCAGUUUUUAUGGAAAGAAAAUGACCUAGAGUAGAAAACACAACACUGAAGAUGUUCGAAGAUUCACAGAACACAAUUUUUAAAUACUCACUAUAAAGCUAUGCUAAUCAAUCCAGUGUGAUUUUGGCUACAGAAGAGAUCAAUGGAAUAAAAGAACUAUCUCAGUUAAAGACCCAUGCAAAUAUAAUCAACUAUUUUGACAAAGGAGCAAAAGCAAUUAACUGAAGAAAGAAUUGUCUUUCAUAAAACUGAAGAGUGACAUCACCAAGAUGGUGAUGUAAAUUAUUCCUGAUUUUGCUCCAUCUCACAAGAACAAAAACCAACAACUAUUCAAGAACAAAACACCACAAGGACAAUCCUAGAACAUGGCAUGAGGCUGAAGACACAGCUCUGCACCAUAAAAACCAAGACAAACCGCAUUAGAAGGGUAAGAGAAGAGGCCAGAGGUUGACCCCAUUGCCCCUCCCCCCAGGCCAGUGCCGCACCACAUGGAAAGAUCUCCCCUGAGCCUCCAGUUCCUCAAGAGGGAAAAAAGAGCCAGAAAGGACAACCACCCUGAGCAUUGUGACUCAGUUCAUAGAAGCCCCUACUCUAAUUUCACAUCACAGGGUUUGCAGGGAAAUCUUUGGGCUCAACCAUUGGGAAUCUGACUGAUAGAGCAGGGGGAAGUGCUUGCAACAACUUGCACAGGACCUUGGCAGACCAAAUCCAUACCUAUAGUGCCCAAGUAGUAAUCUCAACCAUUGGCUUUGCUAAUAUGCAAAACCAAAUAGCACACUGUGGGGCUCCUGGGUGGCUCAGUUGGUUAAGCAUCUGACUUCGGCUCAGGUCAUGAUCUCGAGG